CCUUGCAGAGACACAGAAACGAUACAGCCUUUGAAUUAUGCGAUGAUUCAUUUGAUGAUGAGGUCUUCAAAGGAUUUGUUGAAACGGUCAAUCUGCCCCUGGAGCAAGUCCAAAUAUUGGGAUCAGUUAUCCAGACUGCUCAUAGGUAGGACGCAUAGUAGAAUACCGUUUAAAACAGAAAGAGGCUUACGGCCUACACCC
rnacentral:RNase_P_RNA from 1 species